rnacentral:lncRNA from 1 species
UUCAUUGCAAUAUUUAUAAUACAAAGCAAGCUCAAGAAACACAAUCUGAAUAAAAACUUAUACAAGACUUGUUGUGUCUGUAGUUCCAUAUAUAAAAACAAAAUAAUAACCAAGAAAAACACAAUGAAUUUGAACCUACAAACAUCCCAAAGGGUUCACCUUUAUUUCAUUCAAGAUCCGAGCCACGUUGACUUUAACCCCAAGGUCAAGUCGAAGCUGAGUCUUUAGUAGUUGAUGGGUUAAACGGUUUCUGUUCAGCACACGUGAGCACCUCGUGGGGCCCAGCAUACUCACGGCCAAGACCCAUCAAGUCAAGAUAAUACAAGUAAUGUGUGAUGAUGGCGUUCAUGUCAUCGACGUCACCUUUGUUACACGUGCGUUCGCCAUAUAGGAUAUUCAUGGUGCACCCAAAUCCCGGAAACCUGCCAGAUGCAGUGUCGUUUUUGGUCGGUUUGUAUGUCCCAACCAUGCAAUCAUGAGGUGAUGGUUGACCCUUUUUCAACGGGGUAAUCCAUUGAAAGAUUGCCGCUUGGAAGGCUAAUGUGGCGUUUUGUUCGAGGUAUUCAGGGUGGUGUAAAAGAUCGGCUUUUAUACAGUCGCCGAUGUAUCCAUAGUUCAUAA